UAAAAAGCAAAUGUUUCAAUCAAAGAGUAUCAGUUUCAGUUUAAAUUACAUCAAGCGAUCUAAAAAUUUUGUGCUAUUAUAAGUCUUUCACAACUUGAAUAUACAAUAUGCAGUUCUGCAAAAUCAACUUUUUUGUCUUUUUGGUUACUUGGAUUACCGUUUUUAGCUUUGCUAAAGCCAGCCAAGUUCCACACAGUCGUCCACGUAAUCACUAAAACGUAGAUCUGCAGCUGAUUUUGAUUCUUACAGACUUCAAAUAGCAGCAUACCCAUACAUUCAUCUAUAAUGAUUAUAAACUUUACAAAAUAAUUCUGGAUCGCAAAUUUGAUCGAACCCAAUCAUAUUCCCUGUACUACAAAAAUGCUUUCAGAAACAACUACCUUCAAUGUUAAUUUUGAGAUGAAAUAAAAUUAAUACAGCAUCAAUUUGCUGACACUAAAAACAAA